rnacentral:rRNA from 1 species
UACGAGAGGCCCAAACGUUAUUCGGAAUUACUGGGCUUAAAGAGUUCGUAGGCGGCGCAGAAAGUAGGGUGUGGAAGCCCUCGGCUUAACCGAGGAAUUGCGCCCUAAACUACUGUGCUUGAGGAACCUAGAGGUGAGCAGAACAGAUGGUGGAGCGGUGAAAUGCGUUGAUAUCAUCUGGAAUACCGGAGGCGAAGGCGGCUCACUGGGGUUUUCUGACGCUGAGGAACGAAAGCCAGGGUAGCGAACGGG